CUGAGGUCUGUUACUACACUACGUAACCCUGGCUAACACUGAGGUCUGCUACUACACUACGUAACCCUGGCUAACACUGAGGUCUGCUACUACACUACGUAACCCUGACUAACACUGAGGUCUGUUACUACACUACGUAACCCUGACUAAC